AGUGCUUCAAGGCCACCAGGUUGAUCUCAGGAGAUAUCCCCGUCCUCAGUGAUAUUCAGUCAAUACAAGGGUGAAUUUAACAGCAAACUGUCUUGCUGGGGAUUUAGGUAGUAGCAGGGACUAUUCAGGAUGCUUAGCCUGGAAGCAAAAUGAAAAAAAUGCCUCAACUGGGCUCUAUAAGAGAGACAUUUAUAGAAUUUGGGGGGGGGGGGGGGGGCGGAACUUCCAGCCCAUCUCUCUGUACCAGGCUGGGGACUGUCUGCUCCCCCAGCUCCGUUGCAGAGGAGCUGCAAUGUUAUCUCCCCGGUGCAGGCUCCAGCUGAUGUGAAACCCCAGCAGAUAAACACAGGGUUGGCCACUGCCCAACAAUGCGCUGCAAACCAAAUAUGCAAGAUCCGGCCUCAAAAUACACCAGCAAUACUGGGGUGGGUGGAGAGACUCAUCCUCUCCUAGACUCCUGCUGGAGGGCACCUACCAGAUGGGAGAAGCUUUGCCUAAACACUGGCUCCUCUGCAAGGAGUAAAACUGGAGGAGGAGGAAGGUCCACAAGCGACCCAUGCUGCUCUGAAGAUUUGCACAAAGAAAAUGCAACCUGCAAGCACCAACCUUGCUGCAAGCACGGGGAAAAAUUCUGCAGAAGAGCAAAACACCAACAGUAAUCAACAGCCCAUGUCCCAGGAAGUAUGUAAGGGCAUCUACAUUUGGGGACAGGACAAGGACUUGAUGGACCUUCAUCUGAAUCCCUGUGUCCAGUUUCUUGCUUGACUAAAGUCCAGUGCGUCAGGGAUCACGUGGAGCCAACACCAAAAGGAGCAUUCCCAUCUCUAUUUGCUGUGUUUGACAGCGCAGAAAACUCAGGUUUAUCAUCUCCCUGUGCAGUGGGGUUUAGAGAGGAACGAGGAUGAUUUUUCCUUCCUCCAGUUAUUUUAAGCACCUUUUAAAGAAAACCCACACGGAAAAAACAAACAAACCAAAAAACACAACCAAACAAAAAAAAACCUACCAAAAACCACACAAGGCAGAAAUUACUUUGAAUCACAUGUUUACU